rnacentral:piRNA from 1 species
UAGAUUGUGGUGUCGGAUCAGGG